GGCUCGACGGGGUGGUCUGCCUCACGGUAUGUACUGCUCGGUUGAGCCUUACCUCUUGGUGAGCCUGCAUGCCCUUUACUGGGUGUGUAGGGGAACCAGGAAUUUUACUUUGAAAAAAUUAGAGUGUUCAAAGCAGGCAUAUGCCCGAAUACAUUAGCAUGGAAUAAUAGAAUAGGACGUGUGGUUCUAUUUUGUUGGUUUCUAGGAUCGCCGUA
rnacentral:rRNA from 1 species